GGUCCCUAUCUGCCGUGGACGUUUGAGAUUUGAGAGGGGCUGCUCCUAGUACGAGAGGACCGGAGUGGACGAACCUCUGGUGUUCCGGUUGUCACGCCAGUGGCAUUGCCGGGUAGCUAUGUUCGGAUAGAUAACCGCUGAAAGCAUCUAAGCGGGAAACUAGCCUCAAGAUGAGAUCUCACUGGGACCUUGAGUCCCCUGAAGGGCCGUCGAAGACUACGACGUUGAUAGGUCGGGUGUGUAAG
rnacentral:rRNA from 1 species